GUCUGAAUAACUUAGUGGUCUAGAGCAGUUACCUGGAAAGCGAAAAACUCGGGUUUGAUUCCCGACUCAGUCA
rnacentral:tRNA from 1 species